AAGUAGCGCGAGUGAUGUUAUUUUGAAAUCUAAUUGAUAAAAAUGUCAAUAAGUCGGAAAUGUAAUAGCAGUUAAAACUACAACAUACCUCGUCGGAGUAAUUGGAAUUUAUGCAAAGGAAAAACAUCUCUUCCUUUGUUAUGUGUCUCUAUGUAUGCAUAAAUAUGAUAUACUUUUAGUGCCCCGCUCAGACGAAUGUGAUGGUGCAAUGGUUAAGGAUGAUUUUUUUCGUUUCAACAAUAAAUUCUUGAUCAUUACAAAGCGCCAUGGAACGGAAAGUGGUACGAUAACAAUGCAAGAAGCAUGUGAGAAUCAUAAUGCCAGCCUUAUUGUCAUCAAAUCAAAAGAAUCAUUUGAAGAAGCCCAAGUACUUGCUAGUUUUCUAAACCAAGAUAACCACGGAAUGAUAGUUGGUCUAUUCCGAGAACCUGGAAAUCAAACAUGGAUCGAUGGCACACCCUUCGAAGACACAAGGGACGUUUUCACUCAAGGGGUGGAUAUUGACAAAUCCGGUUCAGUGGCCGUAGUUUUGAGAAAUGGGAAACUUGAAUCGAGCUAUAGCGCUUAUCAAGGAGUUUGUGCGUCAGAUUGCCCCGUUCACGACGCUCUUCCAGAAUGCUUAGCCAAUGCGGUUGCGAUAAAUGACACUCAAAUCAGGGAAAUUCUGCCUCCGAAAGCAUGCUACAAUGUCAAAGAAAUACGCAGGUUUGAUUGAGCUUGAGGCCCUGGGGUUCAGUUUGUAAAUUAUGCAUGUCUGGGUCUGCUUUUGUGGUGCUCGUUUGGUUGGUUCACAAAAAUAUUCAUUGAAUAUCAAAUGCGAUGAAUGUUUCUAAUCAUCAAGAAGAAUUGCGCACACGCGAUGAUUAUGCUUUCGGUUGUGCCCAGUGUAUUUGUUUUUGAAGCAAUUGAAUCCAACGCCAGGUCCCACAUGUAGUUCCUUUUUCGAGUAUCCUGGAGGAAAAUUGCAACAUUACGCUGCGAAUAAAAAAGAGUGCGAACAAUUAGAGAGCCGAUUAAAAGAGCUAAAUUUCGAAGGGAAAGCAAAGCAAAUAUCACACUUUGAACCUGCUCUUUUAGAGCUGAUCAUGGCAUCAAUUUCAGAUUAUUUUUCGAAACCAUAAAUUAUAACCAGAAAAUUUCGAGCCACUCAUGUGUUGUGCAUUCUUAUUCUACAUAAUUUAGUUGAUCAAAAACCAGAGAGUCAAAGCAAAGACGAUCAUGGAGGCUGUUAUGUCCGGGUGAAUUGAGCGAGGGUUUGAUAAAACGGAGUAAUAUAUAUUUCUGAAGUUAGUAGCAGAGGGAGUUCACAUUCACCAGUCUUACACACAACAACCGACUCCUCCAGGGUUUCUCUCAUCUCCUCAAUUGAGCCGGGUUCUUCAUAUCAUAACAAAGGCAAAGGCGACAAGGAGGUUCAUAAAAUCUAUUGAGUUGACCACACGCCAAAAUGAGUAUCUCAUGAAAAUCGCAUAUCAGCAAUUAGGCAUGGUGCGAUUAUUUCCAUUGCCUCAAAACGUUGAUGUUAUUCUUUUAGUACGUAUAUGCAGGGACUCUGAAGAGCUCUAGUGUCCUUGGUAUAUGUCAUGCUUUUGGUACGUAUGUCCCAGACCAGAACAAACUUCCCCUUUUGUGCCCUUAUGUAUGUUCUUGACGGACAGACAAAUUUAUUGUUAUCUCUCCGAACUGAAUUGGAUGUCUUUUGUUCCAUAUUUAUUCAAACCCUCUACAACAAUUUCCUCCAUUACAAACUCUGUCAAUUGAAAUUUCACCACGUAUAAAUCCUCCACCGAUAACUCAACAAACAGCGAUUUACCCCAAUAGUGACUUCCGUCAAAUUACAUGCCGUCACAUUCUACUUUGCCAUAUGCAACUCCGCCAUGGUAAACUUCUCCGUCUUGAUUUCCGUCGCAUUGGACUCAGCUAUGUGGACCUCCCAUAGUUAUGAAUUCCGUUCUGAUGAACCCGUUUGUCGAUUUCUGGGAUUCUGAAUUUUAUCAGGAAUGAAGAAAACCGUUGCUUAAAGUUUUAAGGAAAGUGUGUAGUGUAAAAUAAGUUCAA